rnacentral:misc_RNA from 1 species
UGUUGUCGAGUUGUUGAAGGUGAAGGUGAUAUUCGUUGUUUGUGUUUUCUCAUACAAUUCGAUUUUCAAAAGAAGAACUCGAGUUAUAUUUACGGAAAAAUAAAGCAUUGCGGUUGAAUGUAGGCUUUGUGUAUUUCACGCGUGUGAAUUUGUGAUUUUUAGUUCUGUUUCUUCUUAAAGUUCAUGCUCCCAGAGUAACAGGGUCGAGUGGAAGAAUGUUGGAUCGCGAUACCGCGAUACAUCUCAUUGCUGGAGGAGUGGCUGGAACUACUGGUGCUAUAGUUACCUGUCCCUUAGAAGUGGUUAAAACACGUUUACAAUCUUCUUCUUCUGGAUUUUAUCCACCUCCGGUGAAUAAGGAACUUACUUCCGGUCAUGUCACAUGUAAAAGUUUUCCGAAACCGGAACAAAGGAGAAGGCUUUGCACUGGUGGCUAUACAAGGCAUGCUUUGAUUGCUCUCUCUCACUUUGGCGCGUUUGCUUCUUCAGGAGGUUCGCCUCACAGUCAUUCUGCGCCAGGUGUAUAUCAAUGUAUCAGAUAUAUCGUUCAAAACGAGGGUAUUCGUGCCCUGUUCAAAGGAUUGGGUCCUAACCUUGUAGGUGUUGCACCAUCCAGAGCAAUCUAUUUCUGCGCCUACUCAAAAAGCAAAGUCGCAUUUAACGCGAUCUUUGCCCCGGAUACCGCUCUUGUACACGUAUUCUCCGCAUUCUGCGCCGGUUUCGUGGCAUGCACAUUGACAAAUCCUAUUUGGUUCGUGAAGACCAGGCUGCAACUGGACCAUCGAACCAACAAAAUCACUGCGAUGGAGUGUAUGCAAAGGAUAUAUCGACAAUCGGGUAUCCUGGGAUUCUACAAAGGCAUUAUGGCCUCCUACAUAGGAAUAAGCGAGACUGUGAUACAUUUUGUGAUCUACGAGGCUGUGAAGGCCUCUUUAGCAACAUACAAGGCUCCCAAUGCAGAUCGAAAAACAUUGCGCGAUUUCUUAGAGUUCAUGGCGGCUGGCUCGUUCUCAAAAACGAUUGCCUCCACCAUCGCUUACCCCCAUGGCAUUGCUCAGCGAGUUGGCUGUGGUUCAAGAGUAAAGCAUCAGUUUGCACAAACUUCUUUACUUGCAAAAAUCUUUAUAAUUCUUGCAAACAUCCUGCACACUAAAGUAGCAAGGACGAGACUUAGAGAGGAAGGUACGAAAUAUCAGACUUUCUGGCAAACAUUGAGCACAGUCUACGCUGAAGAAGGAUUUCAUGGUCUAUACCGUGGUCUUGGUACUCAUCUGAUUAGACAAAUUCCAAAUACAGCAAUUAUUAUGGCUACGUAUGAAGCGGUGGUAUAUUUGCUAAGCAAGCACUUUCACGAACGAUCUUUAAGCAUAAACAAUGAAAGCGAGUCCAAGUUCUAUACAGAUCCAAAGGGUAAACGAGAAUUGGCCUAGGACUUACUCACGGCCCCUGAGUAAAGGGCCAAUAACUCGCAUGCUGUGGCGAGUCUUGAAAUUGCAUCUGUUUUGAAAAAAAGAAAAUGAACAAAGAACAACAACGCCGUCCAAGAGAGAGUCCACACGCCCGGAGAGAACGCAUUUCCGAGUUUGGGGCCAUGCCGGCCGGCCAGGUCCAAUCGAACAUGUCGAAGGUAGCGUACCUACGUACGCGAGGAACAGCCUAAACUGUCUGUCUGUACCUUCGUCGACACAUUCACACACACAUACACGGAGGCGAGGAUCGUGAAGCUGGAUUAAAUGAGUCAAUUACGUAGACUCAGAAUGCUCCAAAAGUAAGAUUAUGUCAGCUUCUCGUUACUAUUAAUCUGUUAACUGGUUUGUUAAUGAAAAAUUUGCAUAAAUAAUUUAUAUUAUUUUUUUGUAAAUCCGAUUCAAAGCAAAUUAAUUUGAUUUAUCUCUUGAAAAUUAAAAUUUGAUAAUGUAUUUUUUAUGAUUAAACUAAUUAAUUUAAAAAAUAUUUAAAAAAAUAAAUUCAAAAAUAUUGAUAAUAUUAUUUUUUCCAGUUAAUAGGUUAAUGGAAUCAUUGACAUUAUCAUUGGUAAUAACAGGUAUCAUGGGAGAUUCAUUUCAGGCGUCUUAAUUGUUUCUGAAGAUCUUCGAAACACGGGAAAAAAUGGAUUUUAAUUCUUAAAAACUUAUAAUAGAUUUAAUUUUUUACUAAUCGGUUAUUAUAUAUAAUAAUAUUGAUAUUCUAAUUUGAAUUUAAACAUUUAAAAUUCAUAUCUCCCUUGUUUCGAUAUGAUAGAAAUCAUUUUUCAUCAUUCAUUUUUAUACAGUAUUGCGAUUUCUUUAGAGCAAUAUGCACUUAUAUUAAUUAAAAAUUAUUGUUAAAUAUAAGAGAUAGGAUUGCUCUUGAAGAAUUCAUUAGAGAAUAUAUUCAUUUCUAUAUCAUUAAUAACAGAUACAUUUGAAUUUAAUGAUUAUUGAAAAAAUGCGAUCAUUGUCUUUUGCUAUUUCUUUUAACAAAAAGAAAAAUAGAAAAUAAUCAUUAUAAUUAUAAAUCUAUAUACAAAAUGAUGAAGGUGGACGAUUGUUAUGUUUAUUUCUAUUAGUAUAAGGAGAUGUAUUAUUAUCAUUAUUGUUGUUGUUCAUCAUUACAUAGAAUUUGUAUUUCAUAUUAAAUUUUAUUUUCGAAAAACGCUUCUUCCGUAAAACGCUCAAAAUCUAUGCAUUAUUGAUUGAAAUCUAACUUUUCUGUACGUGAAAAAUCUAUUUUAAAUAUGUAUUGAUAUCAAUUUCUUUUGCAACGAAAAAAAAAUAUAAAAAAAUUAAAAAUGCAUGAAAAAUUGCAUAUAAAUUUCAUAUAUAACAUUAAAUUAAGAGAAAAAAAAUUUCAUUGUAUUGAAUAUAUCGAAUACAAUCAAUCAAUUCUAUAAAAUUAUAAUGUAGGAAUCAUGUAUGUAAAUUAAUUUAGAUCAAUAUAACUGUUUAUAUAUUUUGAGAGUGCGUUGUUACGCCAAAUGAAAACAAUAUAACAAAAAUGUUACUUCCUUUCUUUUUUGUAAUGUUUGGAGAGGAAACUAUUUAUAGUUACUAUCAUGUUUUUGGAAUCAAUAAUAUCUAUAUAAAUACUGUGCACUUAGAGAAAUAUUAUAUUGAAGUGCGUUUGUUGUUGUUCAAAAUAAUUAUUCGUUGAAGAAGAGAAAAUAUUAAAAAAUAAAUUAUAUAUAUAUACACGUACAUAAGAAAGAAUUAAUAAUUUUUUGUUACUGAGAAACAUUCAUUAUAAAUUUGAUUAUGUUUGCAGUCUAAUAAAAUGCCAUACGAUAAUAAAAAAUGUAAUAUAGCUUUUAUAUUCUUUUUGGCUUGAUAUUAUUAACGAAUUAUUUAUAUUUCUUCGUUAGUACCGUUUUCUAAGAUAAUAAUUCGAUAGCUCAGGUUUUUUGAAAACUAGUCUAAAACAUUUUUGAUAAGUCCUAUUUUUGUAUUCGUGAUGAAUCGAACAAGUCAAAACUUUACAAUUUGAGAUUUGCAAUUUGGUAAAAAUGGUACUAAAAAAUUUGAAUUUUUUCUGUUUAAUAAUUGAUGAUUUCAAUGACCAAUGGAAAGUGAGAAAAAUUAUGAUUUUUAAUUUACAUAUUUUUGGCUGAUAUUUAAAAUUUUAAUAUUGUGCUUUAAAAUAUUUCCAUAAAUAAUUUUUUUUUAAAUUCUUAAAAAUUUAUUUAAUAUUCAAAUUUUGAAGUACAAACAAGCAAAAAAAAUUUGAAGUCUUGAUAAGAAAGACUGAAUUAGAUUUUACUGUACUUAGUAUGGCUCUGAAAAUAAGAAUUGUAAUGUGAGAAUGUCGAUAUUAUUAAAAUAAUAUAUGUAUAUAAUAUGUAUACACAUAAAUAUGUACAUUCAUCAAUAAAAUCAACGAAUAAUA